rnacentral:rRNA from 1 species
UCGACUGCAUGAAGUCGGAAUCGCUAGUAAUCGCGGAUCAGCAUGCCGCGGUGAAUACGUUCCCGGGUCUUGUACACACCGCCCGUCAAACAAUGGGAGUGGUGUUUACCAGAAGUCGUUAGCCUAACCGCAAGGAGGACGGUGACCACGGUGAGCACCGUGACUAAUGUUAAGUCGUAACAAGGUAGC